rnacentral:rRNA from 1 species
UACGUAGGGGGCAAGCGUUGUCCGGAUUUAUUGGGCGUAAAGAGCGUGUAGGCGGUCUGGUAGGUCCGUUGUGAAAACUCGAGGCUCAACCUCGAGACGCCGAUGGAAACCAUCAGACUAGAGUCCGGAAGAGGAGAGUGGAAUUCCUGGUGUAGCGGUGAAAUGCGCAGAUAUCAGGAAGAACACCCGUGGCUAAGGCGGCUCACUGGACCAUAACUGACGCUGAGGCACGAAAGCUAGGGGAGCAAACAGG